UACGUAGGGAGCAAGCGUUGUCCGGAAUCAUUGGGCGUAAAGCGCGCGUAGGUGGCCUCAUAAGUCCGCUGUGAAAGUCAAAGGCUCAACCUUUGAAAGCCGGUGGAUACUGUGAGGCUAGAGUACGGAAGAGGCGAGUGGAAUUCCUGGUGUAGCGGUGGAAUGCGCAGAUAUCAGGAGGAACACCAGUGGCGAAGGCGGUGCUCUGGGCCGGUACUGACGCUGAGGAGCGAAAGCGUGGGGAGCAAACAGG
rnacentral:rRNA from 1 species